UACAGAGGGGGCAAGCGUUGUUCGGAAUUACUGGGCGUAAAGGGCGCGUAGGCGGCCCGCUAAGUCGAACGUGAAAUCCCCGAGCUCAACUCGGGAACUGCGUCCGAUACUGGCGGGCUUGAAUCCGGGAGAGGGAUGCGGAAUUCCAGGUGUAGCGGUGAAAUGCGUAGAUAUCGAGAGGAACACCAGUGGCGAAGGCGAGUCCCUGGACAACACCUGACACUGAGGCACGAAAGCUAGGGGAGCAAACAGG
rnacentral:rRNA from 1 species